UCAGCCGCCUGCCCAGGGAGGGAUGCCACCCUCCUCCUCUAUCACCCUGCUGGGCUGCGGGGAGGCCAGUCCGACACCACCAAAGGGGGUGCUCCCAGGGGCUCUCUGCUGUCUACGGGCUAGUCACUCCCAGCUUGUCCCUUCCAAGGCCUCCUUUGGGGCAUGUGAAGUUUAUACAGUUUCAGGAGCGCUCUUUGGGAAAAAUAGCACAACAAUUCAAACACAGAAUUAGGCACAGGGCUUUGGAAGGCGCGCCUGUGAACCAGCCACCCUGCAGCUCAGCCUGCCUUGGCUCCAAGAAAAACGGAUGCCAGUUUCCCAUCAUCGUCCUCACAGCUUCAACAGGAAGCCACCGCUCUUAGCCCUCCGUGCACUACGCACCAGACAAGGGGACUGUCUGGCUGGACGACACCAUAGUCAAGGUUAAAGGGAAGGUCAGGUUUAGAUCUUCUCCCCAGUGGGCUCUGUCAUUCUGAAUAUUCAUCUCCCAGCUGUGAAAGAUCAGGUCUGUUGGCAGGUACAAAGGGGAACCGCAGCAGCCCAGGGCAAUAGAUGCUUACAUGAAGCAAGGAGGAGAUUCGAUCUUGCCAAUCGGAAAGGAAGAUACCACGUAUGCACUUGGAUGGGAUUAUUACGAUUCAGAGCUUGCACUGGACUAUUUUUGAUGUCACCUUUCUAAUCUCUAAGAAUAAAAAUAGCAAGAGGAAAAGACUCCGUGGAUAACAUUAGCUUGAGCAACGUACCUGUUCACGUGGGCGGGCUGCCCUCUCGACCGCCCUGCAAAAAGAAUAAUGAUGCGCCC